AUGAUGGUGACCUAAACCCUCACCAGAGUAACAAUUGGAGGGCAAGUCUGGUGCCAGCAGCCGCGGUAAUUCCAGCUCCAAUAGCGUAUAUUAAACUUGUUGCAGUUAAAAAGCUCGUAGUUGAAUUUUUGCGUGGUGUUAAUAUUGACUGAUGUCGAGAUUGCACUUCGCUUUUGGGAUUUUUCCCUUUUUACUUUGAGAAAAUUAGAGUGUUUCAAGCAGACUUUUGUCUUGAAUACUUCAGCAUGGAAUAAUAGAGUAGGACUUUGGUUCUAUUUUGUUGGUUUGUGAACCUUAGUAAUGGUUAAUAGGAACGGUUGGGGGCAUUCGUAUUUAACUGUCAGAGGUGAAAUUCUUAGAUUUGUUAAAGACGAACUACUGCGAAAGCAUUUGCCAAGGACGUUUUCAUUAAUCAAGAACGAAAGUUAGGGGAUCGAAGACGAUCAGAUACCGUCGUAGUCCUAACCAUAAACUAUGCCGACUAGGGAUUGGAGGUCGUCAUUUUUCCGACUCCUUCAGCACCUUGAGAGAAAUC
rnacentral:rRNA from 1 species